CGGCUCAAAGAGGGGGACCUUCGGGCCUCUCGCGUCAGGAUAUGCCCAGGUGGGAUUAGCUAGUUGGUGAGGUAAUGGCUCACCAAGGCGACGAUCCCUAGCUGGUCUGAGAGGAUGAUCAGCCACACUGGAACUGAGACACGGUCCAGACUCCUACGGGAGGCAGCAGUGGGGAAUAUUGCACAAUGGGCGCAAGCCUGAUGCAGCCAUGCCGCGUGUAUGAAGAAGGCCUUCGGGUUGUAAAGUACUUUCAGCAGUGAGGAAGGUGGAUGUGUUAAUAGCGCAUUCAUUUGACGUUAGCUGCAGAAGAAGCACCGGCUAACUCCGUGCCAGCAGCCGCGGUAAUACGGAGGGUGCGAGCGUUAAUCGGAAUUACUGGGCGUAAAGCGCAUGCAGGUGGUUUGUUAAGUCAGAUGUGAAAGCCC
rnacentral:rRNA from 1 species